rnacentral:tRNA from 1 species
GCAUGCCCGGCCGAGUGGUUAGUGUGUUGUUUGUUGAACGUGAGGUCACCGGUUCGAUCCCCGUUAUGCG